GGAAAGGCUUUCAUCUUUAGAAUGUUCCCAUCGACAUUAAUGGGUGUCAUGCUCGAACAAACCACCUCGAACUCCUUAAGAUGCUUGUUUGGAUCUUCCAUGGACAACCCAUGGUAUUUAGGAAUGUGAUGCAACAAGCUUGACUUCAAUUCAAACUCAUCGAUUUUGCCUUGGGCAACCACGGGAUAUUGAAUGCAAAGGGGGUGUGGCAUUGGCUAACCCCAAGGCCGAAAGCUCCUUUAUUCUACGGUUGUCCGGUGCCAUGACUUCUUCUUCUUAUUCUUCUUCAAAUUCAAAUUCGGCCUCUGAACUUGAACUAGGUUCACUAGGUUCUGGAUGCCUCCUCUUUCUUCUUCUCAAAUUUCGUUCAAAAUCGUUGUUAAAGUCCAAGAUAUGUUCACGAACUGGUUGAGAACUCUGAGUCAUAAACUAGUACCUAAACAAAGAAAAUAAAACAAAAUUAGAAAACUAGUAAAAUACACAUAAAACACACGGCAAACACAAGGGAUUAGCAAUUGCUAAUCCCUGGCAACGACGCCAAAAUUUGAUGUGAAAAUUAAGUUGACACACAAAUUAAGCCCUAUUGAUGACAAUUGUAGGUAGUAUUAAGCAAGUAAGGAUCGUUCUAGACCGGGAAUUAACUAGGGAUGCAAAUCAACACAAAUAAGACUCAAAAACACUAAACUAGACUCUAUAGACUCAAAACUAACUUAAAACACUCAAAACAGCAACAAACAAUAAAAAAGGCUCAAUUCUAGACCUAACAAGUGAUUUGGACGAAAAUAAGAUUUAACUCGACUCAAAAGACUAAAAGAAAACAUGUUUUGACUCAACUAAUAAGAUUUAAUGAAUGGGGGAUCGCUUUUGAUGAAUUUAAAAACUUAAAAACAUAAACUUAAGAAGACACGAAAUUGAUGAAAUAGAAUGGUGAAAGGCUAGUUAGAGGGUCAUUCUCCACACAUGACAUAUGGUGAAAGGCUAGUUAGAGGGUCAUUCUCCACACAUGACAUAUGCAUACGAAUCGAUUUCCAAUUAUUCUUUCGACAAACCAUGAAUGACAAUGCCCCGAAUUAAUUGUAUUGAACUAAUUAAUUCUCAGAUUUCCCUAAAAUCAUUGAACUGAAUGGAUAACGCAUCACAACCAAAUUAUUCUUUAUCAAGUUCCCUAACUAUGGAAUACGCAUGAUAGAAAUACUUAACAAAGAUCAUUAAGUUCAGUGGAAACCAUAAGCAUUGACGAGGCAUUCAUAACUAUGAAAAGCAUGUUACUCUUGCCUAGGAUUUACUUAACACAAUCGUGACUAGCGACUUUUACUACUCAUGAAGAUAAGUUCAUAACGAUUAGGUGAAAUUCCCUUAUACUCUAGCAUCAAAUUCAUGCAUGCAAACUAAGUAUGCAUCCCUAAUUAACACAAGUUCUUAAUAAAACAGAUAAGUAAACCACAUCCACGAUUCAUGAAACAAUAACUGGAUGAAAUCAAUUCAUAUAAAACAUAUAAUCAUGGCUUUGAAUUCACCUCCAACUAUAAAGAAAUUAGUUCCUCAUGUUCGCAAUUAAACAAAGAUAACUUAAAUUAAACAUUGAAAGUAAAAGAUGGAAAACACCUAAGAACGCUCCAGCAUUCCCAAAGGCUUGGGCAUAGGCACGACACAAAGGCUCAUAUUCUUUCUCCUUCCUUGCAAGCUGCGGCACUAGAGGGGUGAAUGUGUUUGAGGGAUGUAUGAAUGUAGAAUUAAUUAUAUGGUAGAGGGAUUUAUGCGGCAAGGGUUGGUAUUUAUAGGGUUAAAAACCCACGGUACAAGGUAGCAAAGGAAAAGGGUUUUAAAUGCCUAAUUUGUAUAGGAAAUUAAUACACAAUCCUUGAAGGAAAAGGGUCCUCUAUAAGUCAGAAAUCCAAGGGAAAUAGGGAGAAUAGAAUCAGGUUUCUAGAACUUCUAGAAAGGUUUGGGGCGCCAGAUUUGCAGGACAAGGAAUAAGGCCUUCUAGAAAGGUUGUUUUGUGGCUGAUUUCCUACAAAAGCAAGGGAUAAGGUGUGGCACCUUUGUAGGAGUGGAUAAGGGCUUCUAGAAACCAAUUUUAAUAUGUUUUAUUUGUACAAUUAUCCCUUAGAAAUAGCUAGAAUUUAGGCACAAACUGAUUUAGAAAGGAUAAGAUAAGAUAAGGCUUGAUUAGGCAAGGAUAAGAUAAGAAAAUGUUGGAUAAGGUUUUGGAUAAUGUUCCUUCUUUUGAGCUAAUUCCUUAUCUUCUUUGUCUUGGAUUUAUUUCUUCACUCUUUUCAGCUCAUUCCUAGCCUCUUGAACUUCAAAUUCAUCCAUCCAUCUUGCUCCACUCAUAAGCUAUCCAUUUGAUGCCUAAAACUGCCUCAAAAAGCUCCAAAUUGCACUUUCUUGCCAACUUUGUCAUAUGGACCUACAAACACACGAAAAUAGCUUAAAUCACUAUAAUAAACACAAACUAGCUACGAAAACGCAAGAAAACAAGCUAACUAAGUCGCAUAAAUAUGCUCCUAUCAUUGAAAACUGGAAAGUCCCUGUGUGUGUUAACCUCUGUUCUCCGUGGCAAGGCAGACUAGCAAAAAUGCCCAACCUUUACUCACAUCGAUAAAACACUCCCAACAGGAUUGCUUUCUCAAAAAUUGAAGAGGCACCGCUCCCCGAAUCUUGAGAGUCAAACUCCCACCAAGAUUGCUUUCUCAAAAAUCGAAGAGGCAUCGCUCUCCGUAUCUUGACAGCCAGAUGAUGCGAAAAUUAACUUAACACACAAAUUAAACCCUCUUUUGACAAUUGUAUAUGUAUAAGUAGGGAUCGUUCUAGACCAGGGAUUAGGAGGGCUUGCUAAUAACCUCUAAACUGACUCAAAAACAUAAAACUAAAAUUAAAAACACUUAACAAGACUCACAAGACUCAAAGCAAACUUAAAAUACUCAAAGCAGCUUAAAACAACCAAAUAAACUUAAACUAGACACUAGGAAUGAAUUUGGAUGAAAAUUGACUUUUACUUGAAUCAAAACACUUAAAAACACAACUAAAACAGAUUCUAACUAAUUAGACACACUAAAGUAAAGGGGAUUGAGUUUUGGAUGAAUUUAAAAUAAAAACAAGUAACUAAAACUUAAGACAGAUUUUGGACGAAUUUGGUCGAAUUAGAUGGAUGAUAAGCUAGCUAGAGGCUCUUUCUCCACACAUGACAUGUAUGCAAACGAAUCAAUUUCCAGUUACUCCUUCAUCGAAUUAUAAACGACAAUGCCCCAAAUUAACCGUGACAUCACUAGUUAACCCUCAGAUUUUCCUUGUAUUAUUGGAUUGGAUGACAUCAUUCGACAACCCAAAGCAUUCUUCAAAAGUUCCCUACAUGACAUCAUAAUAAAGAUACAAUCAAAGAUCAUUACGUUCAAUGAAAAUCAUAAGCAUUGACAAAGCACUUGCAACUAUGACAUCAUGUCACUCAUGCUAUGAAUUAAACUUAACGCGAUUGUUUAUAAGCGACCUCCACUACUUGUAAACAUAAGUUUGUAACGAUUAUGUGAAACUUUCUUAUAUUCUAGCAACGGAUUUAUGCAUGCUAAUUAAGUGUCGACCCUUAAUCAACAAAUACAAAUAAGUUAUCAAUCAAAUAGUUAAACCAAUUGCAUUCACGAUUCAAGAACUCAUAACUAGAAUUUAUCAACUCAAAUUGCACACAUAAUCAUGGCUUUGAAAUCACCCCUAGCCAAGA
rnacentral:lncRNA from 1 species